CGGAUUGUAGUCUGCAACUCGACUACAUGAAGCUGGAAUCGCUAGUAAUCGCGAAUCAGAAUGUCGCGGUGAAUACGUUCCCGGGUCUUGUACACACCGCCCGUCACACCAUGGGAGUCAGUAACGCCCGAAGUCAGUGACCCAACCGGAACCGGAGGGAGCUGCCGAAGGUGGGACCGAUAACUGGGGUGAAGUCGUAACAAGGUACC
rnacentral:rRNA from 1 species